AGGUGAUCAGAUCUACUCCUGCCAUCGUUCUUGAAGGACAAUGUCAAUCUACUUCCCAAGGCCCUAUUCACUACCUGGUCUGGCACUCUAUCCACUGUGAAACCCAGCUUCCUUAGAGAUCAUACUAGAAAGGAAGAUGACCUAUACACUGAAAGUAAAAGAAUUCCUAGCUACCCUUGAUGAAUUCAAGUCAAGAAGAAUGGAGAAAGGCAAAUAUUGUCCUGAUUUUUCAAAAA